rnacentral:rRNA from 1 species
AGUGAACGCUGGCGGCGUGCUUAACACAUGCAAGUCGAACGGUAGCAGAUAGAAGCUUGCUUCUAUGCUGACGAGUGGCGCACGGGUGAGUAAUGUAUAGCUAACGUGCCCCUUAGAGGGGGAUAACAGUUGGAAACGGCUGCUAAUACCCCAUACUCCUUCUAUCUUAAUGAUAGUUGGGAAAUGUUUUUUCGCUAAGGGAUCGGGCUAUAUGGUAUCAGCUAGUUGGUGGGGUAAUGGCUCACCAAGGCAAUGACACCUAGCUGGUCUGAGAGGAUGAUCAGCCACACUGGAACUGAGGCACGGUCCAGACUCCUACGGGAGGCAGCAGUGGGGAAUAUUGCACAAUGGGGGGAACCUUGAUGCGGCAACGCCGCGUGGAGGAUGACACAUUUCGGCGCGUAAACUCCUUUUAUAUAGGAAGAUAAUGACGGUACUAUAUGAAUAAGCACCGGCUAACUCCGUGCCAGCCGCCGCCGUAA